rnacentral:rRNA from 1 species
UUUGGUCGCCAACGAGUGGCGGACGGGUGAGUAACACGUAGGUAACCUGCCCAGAAGCGGGGGACAACAUUUGGAAACAGAUGCUAAUACCGCAUAACAGCGUUGUUCGCAUGAACAACGCUUAAAAGAUGGCUUCUCGCUAUCACUUCUGGAUGGACCUGCGGUGCAUUAGCUUGUUGGUGGGGUAACGGCCUACCAAGGCGAUGAUGCAUAGCCGAGUUGAGAGACUGAUCGGCCACAAUGGGACUGAGACACGGCCCAUACUCCUACGGGAGGCAGCAGUAGGGAAUCUUCCACAAUGGGCGCAAGCCUGAUGGAGCAACACCGCGUGAGUGAAGAAGGGUUUCGGCUCGUAAAGCUCUGUUGUUAAAGAAGAACACGUAUGAGAGUAACUGUUCAUACGUUGACGGUAUUUAACCAGAAAGUCACGGCUAACUACGUGCCAGCAGCCGCGGUAAUACGUAGGUGGCAAGCGUUAUCCGGAUUUAUUGGGCGUAAAGAGAGUGCAGGCGGUUUUCUAAGUCUGAUGUGAAAGCCUUUCGGCUUAACCGGAGAAGUGCAUCGGAAACUGGAUAACUUGAGUGCAGAAGAGGGUAGUGGAACUCCAUGUGUAGCGGUGGAAUGCGUAGAUAUAUGGAAGAACACCAGUGGCGAAAGGCGGCUACCUGGUCUGCAACUGACGCUGAGACUCGAAAGCAUGGGUAGCGAACAGGAUUAGAUACCCUGGUAGUCCAUGCCGUAAACGAUGAGUGCUAGGUGUUGGGAGGGUUUCCGCCCUUCAGUGCCGGAGCUAACGCAUUUAAGCACUCCGCCUGGGGGAGUACGACCGCAAGGUUGAAACUCAAAGGAAUUGACGGGGGCCCGCACAAGCGGUGGAGCAUGUGGUUUAAUUCGAAGCUACGCGAAGAACCUUACCAGGUCUUGACAUCUUGCGCCAACCCUAGAGAUAGGGCGUUUCCUUCGGGAACGCAAUGACAGGUGGUGCAUGGUCGUCGUCAGCUCGUGUCGUGAGAUGUUGGGUUAAGUCCCGCAACGAGCGCAACCCUUGUUACUAGUUGCCAGCAUUAAGUUGGGCACUCUAGUGAGACUGCCGGUGACAAACCGGAGGAAGGUGGGGACGACGUCAGAUCAUCAUGCCCCUUAUGACCUGGGCUACACACGUGCUACAAUGGACGGUACAACGAGUCGCGAACUCGCGAGGGCAAGCAAAUCUCUUAAAACCGUUCUCAGUUCGGACUGCAGGCUGCAACUCGCCUGCACGAAGUCGGAAUCGCUAGUAAUCGCGGAUCAGCAUGCCGCGGUGAGUACGUUCCCGGGCCUUGUACACACCGCCCGUCACACCAUGAGAGUUUGUAACACCCAAAGUCGGUGGGGUAACCUUUUAGGAGCCAGCCGCCUAAGGUGG